AGCCUGAAUUAUUAAGCUAAUAUUAGAAUCAAUAAUCCGUAAUUAAUUAAGUUAAUGACGAUUAAGUAAUUAUAAUCGAUACGCUCCAAAUUUUAGAAGUGUAAAUAAAUGUUAUAUGAAAUUGUUGCUACGUGGAUAUUUUGUGUUAUUAGUUAACUAAUAACAUGAGCUAUGUGAUAAUUAAGUAAUUUAUGAAUUAUGAUAGGUACAUGGAAUAUUGCCUCUGAAUUAUAGGAUUUGUGUUAGUAGUUGAUAUCGAGGUAUUGGCCGAGGAAAUAAGAUUAAGGAGUUGAUUAGGUUAAGAUACCUUCAUUAAGAUAUGUGGUAUACUUUGGAGGAAUUUGGCUAAGAAUAAUUAAGGAUUAGGUAGGAAUUAAGGAAGAAAAUCCAAGUUGAAGCCCUAGAAAAAUCUGAUUAGUGCAUAAGCAAGGGAAAGGACGAUUUUAACCCUAUUACUAAACCGAAAAUGACAAGUUUGCCCUUACCCAUUCUUCAUAUAGGAGAGGGGAAGCUCCUCAUUCAGUAUCAUCAAAAUAAUCUCACAAACAACCACAAGAAAACAACUUUCUUUCUUCUCUCUCUUUCUCGCCAUAUCUGGCGUCUGGGCAGGAAGCUUUUAGCAGCUUGUUCUCUUGGAUUCUUUGCUCUGAUUUCUCACAUGCAAGCACUUCCCUAGAUUCUCCAAGGUGUUGUUCUUACUGGGUAAACGUUAGUUUUGAGGUUUCAAUACUGUAAGCCAAAGAAAAACUAAGGAAGGUCUUAAAGAGUUGCUGGAGGAGUAGUACGAGUUGCUAAGCAAGGGCUAAAUUCCUAAACACCAAAUUAAGUUGUUUUGCAGGAAUAAGCUGAAGGUCAAAGAUAAACUUUAUUUGAAAAGUUCGUGAUAUGUUUUGCUGCUGCGUGAUGUUAUUGUAUAAAUAAUUAUGGGAUGUAACUUAUAUUUUUGG